rnacentral:rRNA from 1 species
AGUGAACGCUGGCGGUAGGCCUAACACAUGCAAGUCGAACGGCAGCACAGGAGAGCUUGCUCUCUGGGUGGCGAGUGGCGGACGGGUGAGGAAUACAUCGGAAUCUACUCUGUCGUGGGGGAUAACGUAGGGAAACUUACGCUAAUACCGCAUACGACCUACGGGUGAAAGCAGGGGACCUUCGGGCCUUGCGCGAUUGACUGCGCCGAUGUCGGAUUAGCUAGUUGGCGGGGUAAAGGCCCACCAAGGCGACGAUCCGUAGCUGGUCUGAGAGGAUGAUCAGCCACACUGGAACUGAGACACGGUCCAGACUCCUACGGGAGGCAGCAGUGGGGAAUAUGGGACAAUGGGCGCAAGCCUGAUCCAGCCAUACCGCGUGGGUGAAGAAGGCCUUCGGGUUGUAAAGCCCUUUUGUUGGGAAAGAAAUCCAGCUGGCUAAUACCCGGUUGGGAUGACGGUACCCAAAGAAUAAGCACCGGCUAACUUCGUGCCAGCAGCCGCAGUAA